UAGUGUUUUUUAACGUGCCGUGCUGUGCUGCUCCGUGGCAUGAUUUUGUUAAUAUGGGCUUGUAAGACUGUAAGGAGAGGGGGGAGGGGGCGAAGAGAUCCAGGCUUUCCAUCAGCAAUGCUAAUAUCACUUUACAAGAUGUCGUUAUGUUGUCUUGGCGAGUCGCGCAGCUCUGUGACAGUCAUUCUGGUCUGACUGGGGCGACCUGUUGCAUGCAACUGGCCAAGCAGACUGCGCGAUCGUUACCAGGCGCUCGCUCUCACAGCGCAGUGCGCAUCCAAUAAUGGUGUGGUAAUCACAUGUCCUCCCCCAGAGACGAUCGCCUGUCCAGCUCACCUCAGGCGAUGCUCCAGUGGACAGUGCUUAGCGGCGCACAAAUGGUGCAACCACGUGACAGACUGCUGGGACCACAGCGACGAGACGGCCUGCGCCGCACCGUCCAAGUGCGGUGUUGGGGAGUUCCGAUGCGCCAGUGGCCAGUGUGUGCCGCUGCGGGACCGCUGUUUCCAGUCGGGUCUGCCCGGACGCGGCUGCGGGGACGGCUCCCACCUUGUCGACUGCGACCGCUGGAAGUGUCCGAGCACAGAGUUCAAGUGCACAA